UGGGGAAUAUUGGACAAUGGGCUAAAGCCUGAUCCAGCCAUUUCGCGUGUGUGAAGAAGGUCUUCGGUUUGUAAAGCACUUUACGUUGGGAGGAAGGGCAGUAAGCGAAUACCUUGCAGUUUUGACGUUACCGACAGAAUAAGCACCGGCUAACUCUGUGCCAGCAGCCGCGGUAAUACAGGGGGUGCAAGCGUUAAUCGGAAUUACUGGGCGUAAAGCGCGCGUAGGUGGUUCGUUAAGUUGAAUGUGAAAGCCCCGGGCUCAACCUGGGAACUGCAUCGAAAACUGGCGAGCUAGAGUAGGGCAGAGGGUGGAGGAAUUUCCUGUGUAGCGGUGAAAUGCGUAGAUAUAGGAAGGAACACCAGUGGCGAAGGCGACCAACUGGGCUCAUACUGACACUGAGGUGCGAAAGCGUGGGGAGCAAACAGG
rnacentral:rRNA from 1 species